rnacentral:lncRNA from 1 species
AUUCAGAAUGCAAUAAUGCUAUCUUUUUAAUUAGCACUCCCGUUAAUACUCCCUAUAUGCACAAGGGUUUCUGAAGUCCAUGGAAAAACAUUGAGAGCCACGCAGAACAGAAAAGAACCUUCUCCAAAGGGAGCCAGGUGCACAGCUUGGAAGAGCCAACAUUAUGACCUCUGCAGAAAGCCAUUGUCUCAGAGAGUUACAGAACAGAAGGAAGAAAAUGUCUCAGUUUUAGUUGACUGGAAAUGCACAGCCGAAGGUUCUUGUCUCGAACUGCAUGGUAUCUGAAGCCACAGAAGGAGGAGCAAGAAAGUGUAUGUAAGAUGGUG